GGGCUCUUGGCGCAGGGGUAGCGCGCACGCUUCGCAUCUAGGUUCAGAACGUAAUUGCGUGAGGUCGUGGGUUCAAUUCUCAGUGUCCA
rnacentral:tRNA from 1 species